AUAAAGCAAUGGUUUUAAAACAUCACCCAGACAAACGGAAAGCAGCUGGUGAACCAAUAAAAGAAGGAGAUAAUGACUACUUCACUUGCAUAACUAAAGCUUAUGAAAUGUUAUCUGAUCCAGUGAAAAGACGAGCAUUUAACAGUGUAGAUCCUACUUUUGAUAACUCAGUUCCUUCUAAAAGUGAAGCAAAGGAUAAUUUCUUCGAAGUGUUUACCCCAGUGUUUGAAAGGAAUUCCAGAUGGUCAAAUAAAAAAAAUGUUCCUAAACUUGGUGAUAUGAAUUCAUCAUUUGAAGAUGUAGAUAUAUUUUAUUCUUUCUGGUAUAAUUUUGAUUCUUGGAGAGAAUUUUCUUAUUUAGAUGAAGAAGAAAAAGAAAAAGCAGAAUGUCGUGAUGAGAGGAGAUGGAUUGAAAAGCAGAACAGAGCAACAAGAGCACAAAGAAAAAAAGAAGAAAUGAACAGAAUAAGAACAUUAGUUGGUAAGUAGAAUUGAUUUAAGUCCCCUAAAUGUUAGAAAUUCAAAAUGAGAUUAACUUUUUCUUUUGCUAGACAAUGCAUACAGCUGUGAUCCAAGGAUAAAAAAGUUCAAGGAAGAAGAAAAAGCCAAGAAAGAAGCAGAAAAGAAAGCAAAAGCAGAAGCUAAACGGAAGGAGCAAGAAGCUAAAGAAAAACAAAGACAAGCUGAAUUAGAAGCUGCUCGGUUAGCUAAGGAGAAAGAAGAGGAGGAAGUCAGACAGCAAGCAUUGCUGGCAAAGAAGG
rnacentral:lncRNA from 1 species